ensembl:lncRNA
GUCAGAGGCGGCCGGGAUCCUGUCAGCGAGGGGCCGUGCCCGCGCUGGAGCCUGCCGGCGGCUGGUGACAUUCUUUUCGAAAUGCUGCGCUUAAGUUUGGCUUCUUAAUGUCAUAAUAGCAACAGCUCGACAUCUCGCGCUGCUCCUGAAGCGCAGGGUUGGUCUGUGCGCUGGUCCUGCUGUCACCUCCAUGGAGAAGCCCAAAGGCAGAAUGAGAGACAAGCGACAGGCCUCAACCAGUCUGGGAAAAUAAUAUCCCAUUAAAAUGGGAAAAAAAGGGUGAGGAGGGGCUGCAUCUAUACCCAAAAAGCUCAAAGCUUGGCAGCCUAGCAGCGGAUAUUGGACAGAAUGCCACCUUUCUCCUCCUCCCCAGUGCCAUGUGCAGGCCUGCAGCUGGGUGUCCAUAAGCAGCACCGUACCUCAUCCAAAGGCCCCCAAAAAACCUUCAGAGAAUGAUGACUACACCGGUUCUGUUAAUGCGGUUGCCUGGUCGGACUCGGCUUUUGUUCCUGAGGUGGAACCCAGAGAUGUGAGUGGAGGUGAAUGGGAUGCAGAAUCCCAGCCGGCUCCCAGGAUGGAAGCUAUAGCAGAUGGCAUGGAAGUGCCUCCAGAGAGGGCCGUGCAAAACUCACAGCUGCGUCCCACGCCGGAGCCCCGCUGGUAUCCCAGGGGUCCUGCGAGACAGAGAGGGAAACUGGGACGAGAAAGAGAUUCGCUGCGGUUUUAUCAUGCUCUCAAGGCAGUGACGGAGGACAACGAAGUGCCUGAGUUCAAUGGAGAGCCUGUGGACGGGGCUGUGUUUGAGGAGGGCAGCAGCCACACACUGCCCAUCUCCCGUGAAGGCACAGAGGACGUGCAAGUAGCUGGCGCUUCAGGUGCACACAGUGAACAAGCUGGGAAUGGGGUCCACGUGAACGACCUCCCCAUGUUCUGCUUGAAAGGUGCUAUUGCCGUGUUUGUUCCUAUUCUGCUGAUAAUAAUUGUGUGCUGCAUUUACAUCCGGCGGCGGAGGAAGAAACACCAGUGAGUUGCUCCCCCAUCCCACCACGCUCUUUAUUCCAGCGCUGCUCUGCGUGGUGCCGGGAGGAAGGAGAGCGGGGGGCUCUCCCAGUCCCUCAGCACUUCCUGUCUCUGCAGGCGCCUCACUGAAGCUGCCAAAGCCCGGUGUGCUGCCUACGAAGACUCAGAGUAUGCGGACAGACAGACUUGGCACCAGCGGCCUCCACGUGUGUCAGGACGUUCUGCCCGGGGGCUGCAGAGCCCCAACACAUCGCCGCCCCCCAGGCCCAAGAGUGCCCCGUCUCGGCUGCCCCCGCCGCGGCCCCCAAGGCCCAGAAGCCCCCAGCCCCGCUGGGCACCACCACCGCCACCGCCACCGCCCCCAUCCUUCAGGGGAUGGUAGCAGUUUCCCUGGGGUCAGGGAACCACGUCCCACUCCUGCACAACCGCUGGUUCCAUCAGCUGUGGCUGUCCAGGUUUGUGCUGCAGCAAUAAAGAACAUUAAGAAAGAACUGUGUUGGCUGUGUCCCAUUGGGGUGCGCUGUCCCAGAACACAUCCAAGAGUCGCCUGUUUAGAGAGGAGACCUUGCUUUGUCUGCGCUGCGCAGGACACAGGGUGGGAAAUCCCUCCAACGAGCGCGUCGUGUCCUCAGCUUGGCUUCUGUUCAGAGUGAGAAGUUUCCACGCUACACCUGCCUCGUGCGUAAGUCACGGUGACCUCGUGUGUAUUUGGGGUGAUGGAGCAGAUCUUCCUGGAAGAGAUGUGGAGGCAGCUGAGGGAUGGAGAAGCGAUCCUGGACAGCCAGCAGGGCGGCACCGAGGGCAGAUCGUGCCUGAGCCACGCGGUGGCUUUUUGUGAUGCAGAGAUGGCACUGAUGGACUCCAGGGGGGCAACUGAUGUCAUCUGCCUGGACUUGAGCAAGGCCUUCGAUGUGGUCCCGCACCACUUCCUUCCCUCUGACUCAGAGGGAGGUGGGUUCAAAGGAUGGGCUGUGGGGUGGGCGUUCAACAAAGCCGAGGGGGUGCGUUCAGAGGGGGAGUUGAUCUGGAUAGGUUGGACAGCCGGGCUGAAGCCAAUGGGAUGGGAUUCAACAAGACCAACUGCCGGGUCCUGCACUUUGGCCGCAAUAACCCCAGGCAACGCUACAGGCUUGGGGCAGAGUGGCUGGAAGACUGUGUAGAGGAAAUGGGCCUGGGGGUGUUGACUGACGCCAGACUGAACAUGAGCCAGCAGUGUGCCCAGGUGGCCAAGAAGGCCAACGGCAUCCUGGCUUGUAUCAGAAACAGUGUGGCCAGCAGGAACAGGGAGGUAAUUGUCCCCCUGUACUCAGCAGUGGUGAGGCCGCACCUCGAGUGCUGUGUCCACUUUUGGGCCCCUCACUGUAAAAAAGAUAUGGAGGCCCUGCAGCGUGUCCAGAGGAGGGCAACACAGCUGGUGAGGGCUCUGGAGCACAGACCUUAUGAGGAGCGGCUGAAGGAGCUGGGGUUGGUCAGUCUGGAGAAGAGGAGGCUCAGGGGAGGCCUUAUUGCUCUGUGUAACUGCCUGAAGGGAGGCUGUAGUGAGCUGCGUGUCGGCCUCUUCUGUCGGGUGACAGUGAUAGGAUGAGAGGGAAUGGCUUCAAGCUGCGUCAGGGAAGAUUCAGGCUGGACGUUAGGAAAUACUACUUCUCUGAAAGGGUGGUCAGGCACUGCAAUGGGCUGCCCAGAGAGGUGGUGGAGUCACCCAACCUGGUGGUGUUCAAAGAGCGUAUGGAUGUUGUGUUGAGGGACAUGGUUUGGCGGGAACCAUUGGUGAAGGACGGAUGGUUGGACUGGAUGGUCCUGUGGGUCUUUUCCAACCUUAGCGAUUCUAUGAUUCUAUGAUUUGCCUCUUGCAUGCCCUACAUCGACCCAAAUGAGAAGAGGAAACGGUUUUCUCCAGCUGCUUCGCUCAGAGGCUGCAGCACCUCUGCUAUGGAGAAAGAAUCAUACAAUCAUAGAAUUACUCAGGUUGGAAAGGAC